rnacentral:piRNA from 1 species
UGUGAUGACAUAGAGACCAUCAGAGUCGUCGC